CAAACACUGGAUCACGUACGAUUGCCGAAGUUAAGCAACGUCGAGCUUGGUCAGUAUCUAGAUGGAUGACCGCUUGGUAAUACCAGGUGCUGUU